rnacentral:rRNA from 1 species
CAUGGUCUUAGCUUGCUAAGGCUGAUGGCGACCGGCGCACGGGUGAGUAACACGUAUCCAACCUGCCGUCUACUCUUGGCCAGCCUUCUGAAAGGAAGAUUAAUCCAGGAUGGCAUCAUGAGUUCACAUGUCCGCAUGAUUAAAGGUAUUUUCCGGUAGACGAUGGGGAUGCGUUCCAUUAGAUAGUAGGCGGGGUAACGGCCCACCUAGUCAACGAUGGAUAGGGGUUCUGAGAGGAAGGCCCCCCACAUUGGAACUGAGACACGGUCCAAACUCCUACGGGAGGCAGCAGUGAGGAAUAUUGGUCAAUGGGCGAUGGCCUGAACCAGCCAAGUAGCGUGAAGGAUGACUGCCCUAUGGGUUGUAAACUUCUUUUAUAAGGGAAUAAAGUCGGGUAUGCAUACCCGUUUGCAUGUACUUUAUGAAUAAGGAUCGGCUAACUCCGUGCCAGCAGCCGCGGUAAUACGGAGGAUCCGAGCGUUAUCCGGAUUUAUUGGGUUUAAAGGGAGCGUAGAUGGAUGUUUAAGUCAGUUGUGAAAGUUUGCGGCUCAACCGUAAAAUUGCAGUUGAUACUGGAUGUCUUGAGUGCAGUUGAGGCAGGCGGAAUUCGUGGUGUAGCGGUGAAAUGCUUAGAUAUCACGAAGAACUCCGAUUGCGAAGGCAGCCUGCUAAGCUGCAACUGAC